GCGGCUAACACAUGCAAGUCGAGCGGGGGAAGUUGCUUCGGUAACUGACCUAGCGGCGGACGGGUGAGUAAUACUUAGGAAUCUGCCUAUUAAUGGGGGACAACAUCUCGAAAGGGAUGCUAAUACCGCAUACGCCCUACGGGGGAAAGCAGGGGAUCACUUGUGACCUUGCGUUAAUAGAUGAGCCUAAGUCGGAUUAGCUAGUUGGUGGGGUAAAGGCCUACCAAGGCGACGAUCUGUAGCGGGUCUGAGAGGAUGAUCCGCCACACUGGGACUGAGACACGGCCCAGACUCCUACGGGAGGCAGCAGUGGGGAAUAUUGGACAAUGGGGGGAACCCUGAUCCAGCCAUGCCGCGUGUGUGAAGAAGGCCUUAUGGUUGUAAAGCACUUUAAGCGAGGAGGAGGCUCUUUUGGUUAAUACCCAAGAUGAGUGGACGUUACUCGCAGAAUAAGCACCGGCUAACUCUGUGCCAGCAGCCGCGGUAAUACAGAGGGUGCGAGCGUUAAUCGGAUUUACUGGGCGUAAAGCGUGCGUAGGCGGCUUUUUAAGUCGGAUGUGAAAUCCCCGAGCUUAACUUGGGAAUUGCAUUCGAUACUGGGAAGCUAGAGUAUGGGAGAGGAUGGUAGAAUUCCAGGUGUAGCGGUGAAAUGCGUAGAGAUCUGGAGGAAUACCGAUGGCGAAGGCAGCCAUCUGGCCUAAUACUGACGCUGAGGUACGAAAGCAUGGGGAGCAAACAGGAUUAGAUACCCUGGUAGUCCAUGCCGUAAACGAUGUCUACUAGCCGUUGGGGUCUUUGAGACUUUAGUGGCGCAGCUAACGCGAUAAGUAGACCGCCUGGGGAGUACGGUCGCAAGACUAAAACUCAAAUGAAUUGACGGGGGCCCGCACAAGCGGUGGAGCAUGUGGUUUAAUUCGAUGCAACGCGAAGAACCUUACCUGGUCUUGACAUAGUAAGAACUUUCCAGAGAUGGAUUGGUGCCUUCGGGAACUUACAUACAGGUGCUGCAUGGCUGUCGUCAGCUCGUGUCGUGAGAUGUUGGGUUAAGUCCCGCAACGAGCGCAACCCUUUUCCUUACUUGCCAGCAUUUCGGAUGGGAACUUUAAGGAUACUGCCCGUGACAAACUGGAGGAAGGCGGGGACAACAUCAAGUCAUCAUGGGCCUUACAACCAGGGGUACACACUGGUUC
rnacentral:rRNA from 2 species